UACGUAGGGUGCGAGCGUUGUCCGGAAUUAUUGGGCGUAAAGAGCUUGUAGGCGGUUUUUCGCGUCUGCCGUGAAAGCCCAGGGCUUAACCCUGGGUCUGCGGUGGGUACGGGCAGACUAGAGUGUGGUAGGGGAGACUGGAAUUCCUGGUGUAGCGGUGAAAUGCGCAGAUAUCAUUUGGAACGCCAACGGAGAAAUCAGGUAGCUGGGGGUGUGCUGACGCUGAGACACGAAAGCCAGGGGAGCGAACGGG
rnacentral:rRNA from 1 species